UUUUUUUUUUUUUUUUUGUCUUUUUAGGGUUGGACCUGAAGCAUAUGGAAGUUCCCAGGCUAGGAGGUGAAUUGGAGCUGUAGCCACUGGCCUAUACCACAGCUCACAGAAACACCGGAUCCCCACUCACUAAGCAAGGCCAGGGAUCAAACCCACAUUCUUAUGGAUACUGGUCAGAUUCACUUCCCCUGAGCCACAACAGAACUUCCUUUUUUUUAACUCAAUGAAUUUUUUUUUUUUUUGGCUUUCUAGGGCCAUACCCACGGCAUAUGGAGGUUCCCAGGCUAGGGGUCUAAUCGGAGCUACAACUGCCAGCCUACACCACAACCACAGCAACGCAGGAUCCAAGCAACAACUGCAACCUACACCACAGCUCACAGCAAUGCCGGAUCCUUAACCCACUGAGGGAGGCCAGGGAUCGAACCCACAACCUCAUGGUUCCUAGUUGGAUUUGUUUCCACUGGGCCACGAUGGGAACACCUCAAUGAAUUUUAUUCUAUUUAUAGUUGUAAGGACUCUCCACUGGAAACUUUUAGUAAACUUACCAACCUCACAUGAUACAUCGCAGUACCUGUGUACUUCGAUUCCUAGCUCUUCCUUCACUGGGAAAAGGCUGAUUAAUUGAGGACAAUCUUAGAGUCAUUCUACUACAAAAUAUUCUAACUCAGAAUAUUUUAAGCCUUAAUUAAAUUUAUUCUGAUUGUCAGUUUUUUCCUUACCUGAUUCACGUCUUUCAUUAGUGAUUUUAGGAUAAAUGGUUGCAUUUUCUUAGAGUGUAGUAAGUAUAGCAAAAACAGAACCUCAACCAGGCAACGAGGUUUGUGCAUUUUUCUGUCUUAAUUUAACCCUUGUAUAUUUCAGAAUCAGAAUCAACCUUCUAUACCACAGGAUUGAUUCUUGUGUUUCCUGUUUUUCUGAGACCCCCAAAGCAAACACGUAUAUAUUUACAUACAAUAUUUACAUUUAUACUUAUAUAUAUGGGUGUGCAUUUGAUGUCUGGGUCCAUAGUUGCAUUUGAAGUUUGGGCCAGCUGGGCUGUUAUAAUUGGCUUCUCCCUGCUUUUAGAUUUACUCUGGCAGAGAAAUAGAUUGUGGAGUUCCUGUUGUGGCGUAGCAGAAUUGGUGGCAUCUCUGCAGUGCCAGGAUGAAAGUUUGAUCGCUGGCCGGGUGCAGUGGGUUAAAAGGACCCAGCAUUGCUGCAGCUGCAGCUUAGGUCACAACUGCAUCUCGGAUCUGAUCCCUGGCCCGGGAACUCCAUGUGCUGUGGGGUGGCCAAGAAAGAAAAUAAAAAAAGAAGAAAUUGAUUAUAAUAUAUGGAAAGAGAGGCAUAUUGGACUACUUCUGCAAAUGGAAAACUCAUCAAGAGAUAGUGACCCAAUUUACAGUGGCAUUUGAUAUGUAUGAUGGAAGGACAGGUUUUUAGCAAGCAGUGAGAUUCCUAAUUUUGUUUAUUUAUUUGUCUUUCUUUUUCUUUUUAGGGCUGUACCUGAGGCAGAUGGAAGUUCCCAGGCUAGGGGUCCAAUUGGAGCUACAGCUCCCAGCCUACACCACAGCCACAGCAGUGGGGAUCCCAGCUGGAUCUGUGACCUACACCACAGCUCACGGCAAUGCCGGAUCCUUAACCCACUGAGCAAGGCCAGGGAUGGAACCCACAACCUCAGGGUUCCUAGUCGGAUUCAUUACCUCUGACCCACGAUGGGAACUCCAAUUCCUAAUUUUGGUUCUGGUCUUAGAAGAGGGAAACUCUUCUAUUUCCCAGUUUUUGGGGUGCAGACAUUUGGAGUCUUUCAGCCUCCUCCCAUGAAUCCAGCCACCUCCCUUUCCAGCCCUCUUGAGUUGCAGAGUGAGAAAUGGAGUCGGUGUGGCCAAACGGCCCUUCUUUGUGCCCUUCUUUCAUCUGGAACACACCUCCAGCUUUGCGCUGACUGCAGGGCCAUUCGUUUUAGCAUCCUGGGUGAGCGUGGGGACUCCUAGUGCUUAGUUUCAAAUUCAGGCUCUGCUACUUUCUAGUUGUGUGAGUUUGGAUGAAAUCACUUAAGAUGUCUGAGUUUUAGUUUUGUAAUGUGUAAACUGAGAACUAACUCACAGGGUGGUUGUAAGGAAUAAGUGCGAUGACGUAUGUUAUGACGUAGCUCAGAGGUAUGUGGGACGCACUCAUUAAAUGACAUCUACUGCUAUUACCUCGUUAUCCGCAGAAUUGCUUAUGUCUUACUGUCAUAGACCUUGGCAGCAGCCCUCUGUGAUUCCUUGCUGAGCUGAACCGAUGGACUGGAGUUUGGGCACAGUGCACACGUGACAGGGUGCUAAGGACCAAGAUGGAUAUGCGUUGACCCUGAAAUCAAGCUCCAGUUCAAGCUUAGAAGUGAAUCCUGGUACAUUUUGGAAGAGACGAAAGAGGGGAGUGAGGGUAGCAAUGGAAAUGAAAAGGAGGAGUGGAAAGGUGUGCCAGAGAGUGUGGUGCUACCAGUGACGGCAGCUUUGAAGAGUCAUCCCUUGGAGCAGCUCCAAAGACAGGAAGGCAGGCUGAGCAUCAUGGCACAUGGCAUGUGGACUGUCUGCACGCCUGAGCUGUGGCAGGUGCUGAUUGAGUUAGAUCAAAUAAUACUGUGGAGCAGCAUUUUCCAAACUGUGUUGCAUGGAGACUGUAUCCUUUAUCCUUUUCCUGAACAGUCUGGUAUAUAGUCUUAUAGUUAAUGAUUUUAUUUGUGGAAUACCCGAGGCGUGUGGAAGUUCUGGGCCAGGGAUUGAACCUGCACCACAGCAGCAACCUAAGCCACUGCAGUGACAAUGACAGAUCCUUAACUCACCGAGCCACAAGAGAGCUCUGACACCGAUUUGAUGUUAAUGUUGAGAGGGAAUAGAAAAGAACAUACCCAUAGAAUUGUGUCAUCAUGUCUAAGUCAGUGGACCCAUUAUGCAAAUUUUAACAAGAAUUAGAUGCUUACUGUUGCAUAUUUUCGCACCCCGUUGCUUAUGUUAUUCUUGGAUGGUUUUGUUCUAUAUCCCUUUGGGCAAUUGCUUUCAUUCACUUAUUUAUUCAACAAUUAUUUACUCCUUGCCAGGCGUUGUGCUGGCCCUGAAGGGUAUAAGAGCAAACAACACAGGCAUGGAUUUAAUCCCUGGCCCUGGGAACUUCCACAUGCCCCUAGCAAGGCCAUAAAAAGAAAAACAAACAAACAAACAAACAACAACAAAAAAAAAA
rnacentral:lncRNA from 1 species